rnacentral:rRNA from 1 species
GCCGGUGAAUAUAGACAAGGGGUCACACCUGUUCCCAUCCCGAACACAGAAGUUAAGACCUUGUCGCCAAUGAUACUGCUCAGCGGGAAAGUAGGUGAUUGCCGGCU